GUUUUUAUAGUUUAAAUUAAAACAUUGGUCUUGUAAACCAAAAUUAAGUGUUUCUUUAAAAACU
rnacentral:tRNA from 1 species